UAACUACUCCCUCUGUCCCAAAUUUCUUGUCUUAGAUUUGUCUAGAUACGGAUGUAUCUAAUACUAAAAUGUGACUUGAUACAUCCGUAUCUAGACAAAUCUAAGAAAAGAAUUUUGGGACGGAGGGAGUACUUU
rnacentral:pre_miRNA from 1 species